rnacentral:rRNA from 1 species
GAUCAUGGCUCAGGACGAACGCUGGUGGCGCGCCUAACACAUGCAAGUCGAACGGAGCUGAGAGGAGCUUGCUUUUCUUAGCUUAGUGGCGAACGGGUGAGUAACGCGUGAGUAACCUGCCCUGGAGUGGGGGACAACAGUUGGAAACGACUGCUAAUACCGCAUAAGCCCACGGAUCCGCAUGGAUCUGCGGGAAAAGGAUUUAUUCGCUUCAGGAUGGACUCGCGUCCAAUUAG